rnacentral:rRNA from 1 species
AGAACGAACGCUGGCGGCGUGUUUAAGACAUGCAAGUCGAACGGGUUGAAGUUGUAGCAAUACCGCCUCAACCAGUGGCGCACGGGUGCGUAACACGUGAGUUACAUGCCCUGCAGUGGGGAAUAGCCCGCCGAAAGGCGGAUUAAUACCCCAUGGUCCCGCAAGGGUAAAGGUGGCCGCAAGGCUGCCGCUGCAGGAUUGGCUCGCGGCCUAUCAGCUUGUUGGUGAGGUAACGGCUCACCAAGGCAACGACGGGUACCUGGUCUGAGAGGAUGAUCAGGCACACUGGAACUGAGACACGGUCCAGACACCUACGGGUGGCAGCAGUCGAGAAUAAUUCACAAGUGGGGGAAACCCUGGAACUGGUGCAACGCCGCGUGGAGAGUGAAGGUCUUCGGAUUGUAAACUCUGUCAGUCGGGAGUAAGACCGUGACGGUAAAGUAGCCGGACAGGGUUGAAGUACGUACCCGAAGGAGGAAA